rnacentral:rRNA from 1 species
UACGUAGGGGGCAAGCGUUAUCCGGAAUGAUUGGGCGUAAAGCGUCUGUAGGUGGCUUUUCAAGUCCGCCGUCAAAUCCCAGGGCUCAACCCUGGACAGGCGGUGGAAACUACCAAGCUGGAGUACGGUAGGGGCAGAGGGAAUUCCGGUGGAGCGGUGAAAUGCAUUGAGAUCGGAAAGAACACCAACGGCGAAAGCAGCUCUAGCUGGGACCGACACUGACACUGAGAGACGAAAGCUAGGGGAGCAAAUGGGAUUAGGAAACCCUGGU